AGGGGAGCGGAGGAGUUCUUCAGCUCUACAGACUGUAACGGUGUAGCUUCUAACGAGGACGAGGCCAUCGAGCUGAAGAUGUACCGUCGGAGAGGAUUGACCCCGCCACCAGAACCCCAAGCCCCGCCCCCAGACCCUGCAGAUCCUCCUCCUGAUAGGCUGGAGCCAGCGGAGAGAGGAGAGGCUCCUCCCCUCAGAGAGGCUCCUGCGAAGCUGGGCGAGAAUCACCGAUUCUGCAACAUCAAG